rnacentral:lncRNA from 1 species
CCCAAUGCUGAGGGCGCUAGGCUUCCCUGUUCCUGCGCUGUGCGGGACACAGACACGGAAAAACGGCAGCAACUUCGUUCUGCUUUGUCCCAUGCAGCGAGCUAAUGUUUUUCUCGGUGGCUUUCAGUUGGAAAUGGCAUGUCCAAGCCACAGCGCAAUGUGAAUCCCCUUUCCAGGGUCAGAGAAAUGCACGCUGCUUUCCCCCAACUGGAAAUCUGCUCUUAGAUAAAGUCAAUUUUAUUAACGAUGAAGAUUUCUUUCAGCUAUGAGCAUAUAGAAAGAUGUGCUCUAUGACUAAUAAGAAACAGCCCUAACUUUUCCAGUAGCUAGCUAAAUCAUUGGGCCCAGCUAGUAAUUUUUACAUGAGUAUGAUAAAGUUUUAAUUCCAGCUGGUAGCAAGUCUUAUUUUCUUCUACUCAUGUACAACACAAGCAAAUACCAAAGUGGUGCCCUCCCUCUGAGCAGGCUCCAGCCACACGUUUGCCCGGCCUCACGUGACACCACCAGGCGGUAACAGGAGAGCUACCUCCUUCACAGGCCCCAAGUUAAAUCCAGGGCCAAAGCAGAGCUGCAGCAAGCAGAAAGGCAGACCCUGGCUCCUGCUGGGCUCUGCGCAGCCAUGAGGUGUCCUUGCGGUUGAUGACAUGAGGGGGACCAGGCCUGUCUGUACCCAUCUGCUCCCAGUGCCACGAGAGGCAGCAGAUGUGUUGGCGGGGCAUGGAGGGGCUGCGCUCCCCGUGCUCACUACACCUGGGUGAGGCACUGCAGAACUGGUAACUGGAUGGGCUCCAUCGCAGCCACCUCUGAAGUCGCAGCCCCAGCCCUGUGCUGGGUUGGAACCUUCCCCAGGACCAGUGGGACAAGGUGUCCCGCAGCAAUGGGCAGAGUGGGUAGUUGGCCCAGACAGCGGCCCAGGGCUGGAUGCACUCCAUGCAGAAAUUGUGUCUGCAGGAGUCCAGACUGAGCCCUGCCCAAAUGUACCAAGACCUUGACUCACUCAAGCAUGUUGGAACCAGCUGGGGGAGCAGCAAACCGCUUGCAGCUUUGUGCGAAGGUGAACUUUGGAUUUAACACCAAACACCUAGCCCUAAAACAAAAAGGGCAGUGACUAGUUUGAAGGCACGAUAGCUCCUUAUACAAAUGUUUUGGCAAAAGGUUUUGCAGAAAAGUUUCCCUAGAGGUCAGCAUAGCAAAGAACAUGAGGCUCAGAGAUGGAAUUGACACCAGCACUUCUGCUGUAAUAAGCCUUUGCUCCUCCAAGCACCCUUGCAGGCAUUGCCUCCAAUUCAUUGCCCCCAGCUCUAGAAGUAAACUAACACCAUUCAUGCUGUUCUCUCCUCAAACUUACGGAUGAAAUGUAACAUCUUUAACAACUUGAAACUUACUGAGAAUGUGAUAUGAUGAUCCUGCACCUAAAGUACAAAAUUCUGCCUCAGAAACUGUGAGGGCUAACUUUUCAGAGAUGCUAAACCCAGCCAUUUUAAAGCAAGGUGAUUAAUUGUGCUCAUUUUUGUGCUUACCAACUAUCUUCAGGAAAAAAAAAAAAAGUAAUUGUGGGAAACAUUCAGCUUCUGCUAAAGGGCCGUCUCAAUGAAGCUUGCACUCACAGUUAGGAGCAGGGUUGGUUUUGUUUGUUUGUUUGUUUUUGUCAGGAUUUGGAUUUUUUCAUAGAAGAUAAAAGCUUAUUGCCAAAAGGUUUGUUGUUGUUAGUUACUUUUCAUGAACUCUUAGAAGUAGUUCAUGAAUCACUGAUUAAAAGUCACUGAACUAGCAUUUAAAUACAUGCCUCUGUAUCUGGUCUUGUAAGAUCAAGAAAGCACCCACUGUGUGGCCGUGAAGGUGGGAGAUGCCCACACCCACUGUGAGUAGUGGCAACUUGACCAAUCCAACUACAAGCCGGACACCAAGAUCACAGUAGUUAUGCAGGUCCUUCUUGGGUCUUCUGUCACAUUGUAAAAAUAAGUUGUAAACAUUGCCAAGCAUGUACAUUAUUUCAAGACCCCUAAUGGACCUGAAAAGUCUUUUGCUCCAUUAUCGGAUUUUCCAUCCCAUUUCUCAGGGCUGGCUUAUUUUUGUCCUGGCAAGCAACCUAGAUCUGCUAUGCGGUGCUACCACAACAUCCCUCUGUGGCCACAGAGCUCUGAUGCAGGUGACCUGGUGGUAAAUCUGAAAUUUUCAUCAUAGUCUGUGGAAUUACCCAAAACAACCAAAACCAGCACCCGGGCAGCUGCCUUGAAAUACCACAGGCCAAUAGCUACAAUGAGCUUCAAGAGGGUCAAGUCUGGUCUCUGCCAUUCCAAGCACCUCCACAGAACAAAUCCAGAAUCAUACCACACACCUCAGCAUGCGUGGUGGGGGAAAGGGAGCUGCCAGCUCAAGAAACACCAUUAAUUUAUAUGUUCAAAUAAACAGCAUCUCAGCCAGUAAUGGUUAGCA